rnacentral:rRNA from 1 species
UACAGAGGUCUCAAGCGUUGUUCGGAAUCACUGGGCGUAAAGGGUGCGUAGGCGGCGGAGUAAGUCGGAUGUGAAAUUUGGAGGCUCAACCUCCAACUUGCAUCUGAUACUGCUUCGCUAGAGACCUGGAGAGGAGUUUGGAAUUCUCGGUGUAGCAGUGAAAUGCGUAGAUUUCGAGAAGAACGCUCGCAGCGAAAGCGAAACUCUGGACAGCGUCUGACGCUGAGGCACGAAGGCUAGGGGAGCAAAGCGGGA